UAUGUUAGCUUGCUAAUAUAUUUAGUAGCAAAUGGGUGAGUAACACGUACCUAACCUACCUUUUGGACCGGGAUAACUAUUGGAAACAGCAGCUAAUACCGGAUAAAAUAAAAAAAUGCAUGUUUUUUUAUUAAAAGGAGCCUUUAAAGCUCCACCAAAAAAUGGGGGUGCGCAACAUUAGUUAGUUGGUAGGGUAAAGGCYUACCAAGACGAUGAUGUUUAGCGGGGCCAAGAGGCUGUACCGCCACACUGGGAUUGAGAUACGGCCCAGACUCCUACGGGAGGCAGCAGUAAGGAAUAUUCCACAAUGAGCGAAAGCUUGAUGGAGCGACACAGAGUGCAG
rnacentral:rRNA from 1 species